rnacentral:rRNA from 1 species
GACGAACGCUGGCGGCGUGCUUAACACAUGCCAGUCUAACGGAAAGGCCCUGCUUUUGUGGGGUGCUCGAGCGGCGAACGGGUGAGUAACACGUGAGUAACCUGCCCUUGACUUUGGGAUAACUUCAGGAAACUGGGGCUAAUACCGGAUAGGAGCUCCUGCUGCAUGGUGGGGGUUGGAAAGUUUCGGCGGUUGGGGAUGGACUCGCGGCUUAUCAGCUUGUUGGUGGGGUAGUGGCUUACCAAGGCUUUGACGGGUAGCCGGCCUGAGAGGGUGACCGGCCACAUUGGGACUGAGAUACGGCCCAGACUCCUACGGGAGGCAGCAGUGGGGAAUAUUGCACAAUGGGCGGAAGCCUGAUGCAGCAACGCCGCGUGCGGGAUGACGGCCUUCGGGUUGUAAACCGCUUUCGCCUGUGACGAAGCGUGAGUGACGGUAAUGGGUAAAGAAGCACCGGCUAACUACGUG